rnacentral:rRNA from 1 species
GGAUAAGGAAAGUAAAUAAGGGCGCAUGGCGGAUGCCUUGGCUCUCGGAGGCGAUGAAGGACGUGAUAAGCUGCGAUAAGCUUUGGGGAGGUGCAAAUGACCUUUGAUCCAGAGAUUUCCGAAUGGGACAACCCAAUAUCUUGAAGAGGUAUUAUCCAACGUUGUUGGAGGCUAACGCAGGGAACUGAAACAUCUUAGUACCUGCAGGAAAAGAAAAUAAACAAUGAUUCCCCCAGUAGUGGCGAGCGAACGGGGAACAGCCCAAACCAUCCAUGUUACGGCAUGGGUGGGGUUGUAGGACUACGCCGUUGCAUGAAGACAUCAGAGAAGAACUUUCUGGAAAGAAAGACCAUAGAGCAUGACAGUUGCGUAUUCGAAUGUUGUCGAAGCAUAGUAGUAUCCUGAGUAGCGCGGAGCACGAGGAAUUCUGCGUGAAUCUGCCGGGACCAUCCGGUAAGGCUAAAUACUCCCGAGAGACCGAUAGCGAACCAGUACCGUGAGGGAAAGGUGAAAAGCACUUCGAACAGAAGAGUGAAAUAGUUCCUGAAACCGUGCGCCUACAAGCGGUCGGAGCUCGUUAAUGAGUGACGGCGUGCCUUUUGCAUAAUGAACCUACGAGUUGCCUUUGCCGGCAAGGUUAAGUGUGACGACACACGUAUCCGAAGCGAAAGCGAGUCUGAACAGGGCGUAUAGUCGGCAGUGGCAGACGCGAAACCAAGUGAUCUACCCUUGGCCAGGUUGAAGGCUGGGUAACACCAGCUGGAGGACCGCACCAAUAAGCGUUGAAAAGCUUCUGGAUGAGCUGAGGGUAGGGGUGAAAGGCUAAUCAAACUUGGAGAUAGCUCGUACUCCCCGAAAUGCAUUUAGGUGCAGCCUUGCGGGUUACUGAUGUGAGGUAGAGCGACUGAUAAGAUGCGAGGGCUUCACCGCCUAUCAAGUCUUGACAAACUCCGAAUGCGCAUCAGUUCUACCGCAGGAGUGAGGGCAUGGGUGCUAAGGUCCGUGCCCGAGAGGAGAAGAAUCCGGACCACCUGCUAAGGUCCCGAAAUGACAGCUAAGUUAAACUAACGAAGUCUGACUGCUAAGACAGCUAGGAUGUUGGCUUGGAAGCAGCCAUUCAUUUAAAGAGUGCGUAACAGCUCACUAGUCGAGGAGUCGGGCGUGGAUAAUAAUCGGGUAUCAAGUUGUCUACCGAAGCAGUGGGAUCAUUAAUAUGAUCGGUAGGGGAGCAUUCCAGUCAGCGUCGAAGGCGUACCGUGAGGUAUUCUGGAGCGUCUGGAAAAGCAAAUGUAGGUAUAAGUAACGAUAAAGGGGGCGGGAAACCCCCUCGCCGAAAGACUAAGGUUUCCUGAUCAACGCUAAUCGGAUCAGGGUCAGUCGGGUCCUAAGGCUCAGCCGAACGGCGAUGCCGAUGGCAGAAACGGUUAAUAUUCCGUUACUACCUUCAGGAGUGACGUGGAGACGCAGUAGUGACAGUGCCGCCAUCUGACGGAAUAGAUGGUUGAAGGGUGUAGGAGUCGAUCAUGGCAGGCAAAUCCACCAUGAGAUCCGAACCUGACAGUAUGCCGCGUCCUUCGGGACAAGGCAAUAGUGCGCGUAAGCAUGCUGCCGAGAAAAUCCGCUAAACUUAAUCCUGCAGGUACCCGUACCGCAAACGGACACACGUAGUCGGGAUGAAUAUUCUAAGGCGCUUGAGUGAUUCACGGUUAAGGAACUAGGCAAACUGACCCUGUAACUUCGGGAUAAAGGGUCCCUACCCUUUUAUGGGAGGGCGCAGAGAAUCGGUCCAGGCAACUGUUUAACAAAAACACAGGGCUGUGCCAAAUCGAAAGAUCCAGUAUACAGCCUGACACCUGCCCGGUGCUGGAAGGUUAAGAGGAGAUGUCAUCGAUAAGAGAAGCGUUGAAUUGAAGCCCCAGUAAACGGCGGCCGUAACUAUAACGGUCCUAAGGUAGCGAAAUUCCUUGUCGGGUAAGUUCCGACCUGCACGAAUGGUGUAAUGAUCUGGACGCUGUCUCAACCGUGAGCUCAGUGAAAUUGUAGUAUCGGUGAAGAUGCCGAUUACCCGCGAUGGGACGAAAAGACCCCGUGAACCUUUACUAUAGCUUAUCAUUGAAUCUGGGCACGUGAUGUGUAGGAUAGGUCGGAGGCUUUGAAGCAGGUACGCCAGUAUUUGUGGAGCCGCUGUUGAAAUACGACCCUUUAUUUGUUUGGAUUCUAACCCGUGGAUACGGGGACAUUGAUUGGUGGGUAGUUUGACUGGGGUGGUCGCCUCCAAAAGCGUAACGGAGGCUUCUAAAGGUGCCCUCCGGCCGAUUGGUAACCGGCCUUAGAGUGUAAUGGCAUAAGGGCGCUUGACUGGGAGACUAACAAGUCGAUCAGGUAGGAAACUAGAGCAUAGUGAUCCGGUGUUUCCGUAUGGAAGGGACAUCGCUCAAAGGAUAAAAGGUACUCCGGGGAUAACAGGCUGAUCCCUCCCAAGAGCUCAUAUCGACGGAGUGGUUUGGCACCUCGAUGUCGGCUCGUCACAUCCUGGGGCUGGAGAAGGUCCCAAGGGUUGGGCUGUUCGCCCAUUAAAGUGGCACGCGAGCUGGGUUCAGAACGUCGUGAGACAGUUCGGUCUCUAUCUAUCGUGGGCGUAUGAAAUUUGCGUGGCUCUGACACUAGUACGAGAGGACCGUGUUGGACAGACCUCUGGUUUGCCGGUUGUGCCGCCAGGUGCAUUGCCGGGUAUCUAAGUCUGGAUCGGAUAAGUGCUGAAAGCAUCUAAGUACGAAGCCGGCCACAAGAUUAGAUUUCUCAGGGUCGUUGUAGACUACGACGUUGAUAGGAUGCAGGUGUAAAG